GAUCAUGCUCAGGACGAACGCUGGCGGCGUGCCUAACACAUGCAAGUCGAACGGAGAUGUUUAUUUCGGUAGACAUCUUAGUGGCGCACGGGUGAGUAACGCGUGAAUAACCUGACCCGAAGAGGGGGAUAACACCUGGAAACAAGUGCUAAUACCGCAUAAGACCACGGACCGGCAUCGGUCAGAGGUCAAAGGAGGAAUCCGCUUUGGGAGGGGUUCGCGUCCCAUUAGGUAGUUGGUGAGGUAACGGCCCACCAAGCCG
rnacentral:rRNA from 1 species